UACGGGGGGGGCAAGCGUUGUUCGGAAUUACUGGGCGUAAAGGGCGCGCAGGCGGCAGCCUAAGUACGGUGUGAAAUCUCCCUGCUCAACGGGGAGGGUGCAUUGUAAACUGGGCAGCUAGAGGACGGUAGAGGGGGGUAGAAUUGCUGGUGUAGCGGUGAAAUGCGUAGAGAUCAGCAGGAAUACCCGUGGCGAAGGCGGCCCCCUGGACCGGUUAUGACCUUUUCUUAUGUUAUCAAUUACGAC
rnacentral:rRNA from 1 species